rnacentral:lncRNA from 1 species
GGUGUGUAGGAGGGGGAGGGAUGUGGGGGAGUGUACGCUGUUCUGGCUAGGCUUCCAGAACCUUUAAUUCAGAAUCAGAAUAAAUUUAUAGAAAACUAAACUACUGCAUCGAUUUUCUUCAAACUUUUUGUGUAAACUUAGGGUAAUUUGUCUCAGCGUUUAGGUAAGUUUCGAUUCAUUUGGUAAUACUAAAUUUUAUUUAUUUUUAUGCGGAUUUAGUCGUUAGCUUUUUCUGACUUAGGACCACCACAACAUCAUUAUUAGUUGUCUGUUGACAGUCUGUGGCUCUCUGCUGUGUCUGUCUGUUUACUAGAGGUGUGCGUCGUUUAAACGUUCUACAUCGGUUAAAACAUUUUAUAUGUUCAACGUGAAAUAAUAUUUGACUCUUUCAGUAUUUAGAAAACAACAAAAGAAACUGCACACAAAGCCUUUUGGUAUUUGCUGAAAGAAGAGGAUCCUCCAAAAUAUGAGAAAGCCCUUACACUGCUUGAAGAAAUCAAAGAAUGGCUGCUGUCCUUAUUGUUACCCCAUCAGACCAGAACUCUAAAAAAAAUCAAGGAUAAGUUAGGCACAGUGCACAGAUCUGAUAAGGCCACAAAUUGAAGCGGAAACUCAAGAUUUGCAUGAAUAGUUAUUCACAGUAUGGCAAGACUAUGCGGUGAUGCGAUACAGUAUCGCAGCCUGUAGUGUAGAAUACGAACGAAGUAAAUUCGAAGAUUAUCUCAAGAUAAAUCUUGAUGGAUUCCGACAUACCCGAGAGUGGCUGCAUUGCAAUCGAAAAGAAACUUCGCAGCACUCAGUCAGUUCCUCCAACGCUAUCACCUCGGUCGAGCGAUCCGCAAACGGGCGAAUGGAAGUUGGUUGUGCCAAUGUCCAAGCGGUGAUGCGACGUUGGUGUUGCUGUUCUUAGCGAUUUAUUGCUAUGCCUAUGUCGUUGGUGGCCAUGACGGUCAGUCGUAUAUCUAAAUAGCAAAGAACACUUCGAUCCUCAAACCAAUUUAGUCGUCUGAGGUAGCGCCCACAUGGCGCACGUGUGUCGGUGUAGCUGUUCUCUAUGGUUAUAUGUAUGCCGUUGGGGCCAGGAUGGCGUCAGUUGUCUUAACUAUGUUGAACGCUACGAUCCAAAAGAAAAUAAAUGGAGUAAAGUCGCCUCUAUGAACACUCGUCGAUUAGUUGUAGCUGUUGCCGUCCUGGGUGGAUACGUGUGAGUGGGUCAGAUGGCCAGAUUCCUCUUAAAACUAUGGAAAAAUAUGAUCCACGUCAGAACAAAUGGACUUUGGUUGCUCCAAUGUCGUUGUCGUUGUCGUACAAGAAAAAAACAGUUGGGUUGCGCCGUGUACAACAACUGAAUCUAUGCCGUAGGUGGACGAGACGACGCCACUGAACUCUCGUCAGCUGAGAGCUGCAAUCCUAACACCAACACAUGCCAGUCCCAUAUUGGCAAUGAGCUCAAGAAGGAGUGGCGUCGAACUUGCCGUGUUCAAUGGACAGCUACACGCAGUAGGUCGAUUGAAGUCUACGAUCCGGAGCAGAAUCAAUGGCGACUGUGUGUCACCAUGAAUUAUCGACGGCUCGGCGGUGGUGUGGUCCUUGUCAAAUGCCUCAAAACAAAACUCACUUGUGGUAACAAGAGCCGCAAUCUGACUUGAAAAUUGUUGUUGGGCACACACACUUCAUCUUGUCAUAGAUUAUAAUCGAAAUUUUUUAUGCGUUUCUUUCUUUCUCGUCGUACAUGAAAUUAUUGAAGCGCCUUGCGGAGUAGCAAAGGAAUGGUACCUUUUUUUGUUUGUUUGUGUGUUUAUUUUUCAUCUUACAAUUUCGUUGAAAGAUUCUCAAUCAAGAUUUUUCCGGUUAGUUCUUGUGCUUGACGCGAUGUCAAUUUAUUUAUUUAUUAUUUAUUAGAUUACCAAAAAAGAAUACGUUUUUUGUAACCAAGUUUAAUCAUUGACUGUUAAACUAUAUUUUGAAACUGAAAAUACAGACAAACUUUACAUGGCGAAAUCGACACGGAUAAAUAAUUGUUUUCACAAUUUAUCGUAAAUUAAAAGCAUCAAGAACGCAUUAAACGCAAAUUAAUAUAAAACAAAAUCUUCCAAAUUACUUCAUUUUAAUUGUUCUGAAAAUUCAGAAGCCAAGUAAUUGAUUUGUUGAUUUCAUGACCGUUAAUACCCGAGGGCGAACCUGGAAGGGUC